GACAGAGGGUGCAAACGUUGUUCGGAAUUACUGGGCGUAAAGCGCGUGUAGGCGGCUCUGCAAGUCGGAUGUGAAAUCCCACGGCUCAACCAUGGAAGUGCAUUCGAAACUGCAGGGCUAGAGUCCUGGAGAGGAAGGUGGAAUGCUUGGUGUAGAGGUGAAAUUCGUAGAUAUCAAGCGGAACACCGGUGGCGAAGGCGGCCUUCUGGACAGUGACUGACGCUGAGACGUGAAAGCGUGGGGAGCAAACAGG
rnacentral:rRNA from 1 species